rnacentral:rRNA from 1 species
UUUGUCGCGUUGUUCGUGAAAUCUCACGGCUUAACUGUGAGCGUGCGGGCGAUACGGGCAGACUUGAGUACUGCAGGGGAGACUGGAAUUCCUGGUGUAGCGGUGGAAUGCGCAGAUAUCAGGAGGAACACCGGUGGCGAAGGCGGGUCUCUGGGCAGUAACUGACGCUGAGGAGCGAAAGCGUGGGGAGCGAACAGGAUUAGAUACCCUGGUAGUCCACGCCGUAAACGGUGGGUACUAGGUGUGGGUUUCCUUCCUUGGGAUCCGUGCCGUAGCUAACGCAUUAAGUACCCCGCCUGGGGAGUACGGCCGCAAGGCUAAAACUCAAAGAAAUUGACGGGGGCCCGCACAAGCGGCGGAGCAUGUGGAUUAAUUCGAUGCAACGCGAAGAACCUUACCUGGGUUUGACAUGCACAGGACGCCGGCAGAGAUGUCGGUUCCCUUGUGGCCUGUGUGCAGGUGGUGCAUGGCUGUCGUCAGCUCGUGUCGUGAGAUGUUGGGUUAAGUCCCGCAACGAGCGCAACCCUUGUCUCAUGUUGCCAGCGGGUAAUGCCGGGGACUCGUGAGAGACUGCCGGGGUCAACUCGGAGGAAGGUGGGGAUGACGUCAAGUCAUCAUGCCCCUUAUGUCCAGGGCUUCACACAUGCUGCAAUGGCCGGUACAAAGGGCUGCGAUGCCGCGAGGUUAAGCGAAUCCUUUUAAAGCCGGUCUCAGUUCGGAUCGGGGUCUGCAACUCGACCCCGUGAAGUCGGA